AAGUCUAGGAUGAGAGACUUGAGCAAGACCAGAUGUUAUCGAUGUGACGAGUUGGGACAUCUAGCCAGAGAUAGCCCUCAACUCAGAGAUCAGAUGAGGGCUACUAAAGCGACGGCCAGUAGUGAGUCAGAGGAUGAUGUCCUAGAGAUAUCUAACAAGGUAUCUACUUCUUCCAAGCAGUAAAUUUUAGAUUCUGUAUGCACCUAUCGUGUAUGUUGCAGAGAUGAACAGUUUGACUCUUUAGAGAGCAGUGAGGGCACUAUUUAUUUAUCGGAUGGAUCGAGUUGUGCGAUCAAAAGUAUCGGG
rnacentral:lncRNA from 1 species